AAAGACUUUUUAAAUUUUAGUUUAAAAGCUGUUUGACCAGUGGUAGGAUGGUCCCCCUUAAAUGUGAGUCUUGGUUCUCCCAAGGUUUCUUCCUCCUCCUGCAGCUCUGAGGGAGUUUUUCCUUGCCUCCGCGCUCACUGGGGGUUCUGUAUUCUGUAUUUUCUAUGUGUAAUGUUUUGCCUGAUUCUUUGUCCUGUAAUCAUGUUUCUGUAAAGCUGCUUUGUGCCAACACCUGUUGUAAAAAGCGCUAUACAAAUAAAUUUGAUUUGAUUUGA